rnacentral:rRNA from 1 species
UACGGGGGGGCAAGCGUUGUUCGGAAUUACUGGGCGUAAAGGGUUCGUAGGUGGCUUGCUUAGUCAGACGUGAAAUCCCUCAGCUUAACUGGGGAACUGCGUCUGAUACUGGCGAGCUUGAGUGCAGGAGAGGGAUGCGGAAUUCCAGGUGGUAGCGGUGAAAUGCGUAGAUAUCUGGAGGAACACCGGUGGCGAAGGCGGCAUCCUGGACCAACACUGACACUGAGGAGCGAA